CGGCGGACGGGUGAGUAACGCGUGGGUAACCUGCCUCAUACAGGGGGAUAACAGUUGGAAACGGCUGCUAAUACCGCAUAAGCGCACAGUACCGCAUGGUACGGUGUGAAAAACUCCGGUGGUAUGAGAUGGACCCGCGUCUGAUUAGGUAGUUGGUGGGGUAACGGCCUACCAAGCCGACGAUCAGUGGCCGACCUGAGAGGGUGACCGGCCACAUUGGGACUGAGACACGGCCCAA
rnacentral:rRNA from 1 species